UUCCUGGUCAGCGGCGAGAGAGAAACGGGAACGCGAGAGAGAGUGAAAGAACUUUGCUCUCCAGCUACUGAUCACCCCCAGUGGCAGUUGGACGAAUGGCUGAAGAAAUCCCGGAGAAAAUCUUCCAGCGGUGACCAAGUGCACAGCGUUUCGGGACGUCCUCCCUCUCCCCACACCCAAAGAGCGCCGUCUCCAGCCAGGUUCUGGGACAGCAAUCAGGAAUACAGCCCCAGCCAAAGCCCUAUCCCCAGCCCACAGUUCAAUUUCAGCCACAACACCAGCCACCUACCUAGCCCUGGUUAUAGCUACUGCCCUAGCCCCAGCCCGUUCCCCAGCACAUGCCCAAGUCCCGGCCCAAGCCCCGGACCCAGCCCGAUACCCAGUCCAGUUCCAAGUGUUUGCCCCAGUCCGUGUGGGAGCCUGAGAGCCAGCCGUAGCCCUAGUCCUAUCCAUAGAGACCCUCCAAGAAGCCCCAGUCCCGGCCUACCAACUCCUUCCGGGGUUCGGCACUUCCCAGUUGUUCAGAGAACACAACCUAACCUGACAGCCAAUCCCCACAGGACGAAAAACAGGUCAUGGAUUACCCCAUUGCCUGAUACUGAUGCAAAGAGCAAAGCCACAAGCAGCAUUCCUCUUCAACCAACUCACCAACACCGGCCCAAGACUCGACCCACACAGAACCAAGACCAAACCAAACCGAAGACGUCUGCUGUUUUAAACUCUAACCAGAGUCACGGACAUAAAUCUAGACCCAAGUUGAACUUUCAUCCUAGUUCUAAACAGCUCUCUGAGGCUCCCAAACACACAUCACAUCUUGAGCAAAUCCAGAACAGCAGAUCGAACCACAGCUCUAACCACAAGCCCAGGCCUUCGUUUCAAUCAAGCUCACAUCGUAGCUCCAAAACAUCAAGACACUUAAUUCCCACUAGUUGUGAAACCAAAUCUGAUCAUAUUUCUCAAUCAAAAUCUGCAGCUAAUCAUAACACUGGGUUGAGCUGUAGAUCUAACCCCAGCCUUAAACCUAGGGCCAAGUCUUCGGAGGGUACAGCCCCAACUGCUGUGCGUGUUAAUCAUACUGUAACAACACGGAAGAAACCUCAGUCCAAGGAGCAGGAGGUAGACCUCAGAGGAGAUCAUCUUUCCCAAAGGGGGAGAGAAAACCAGAGAAAAGAGGACAGACAACAUAAAAAACAACAAGGGAAACCGGAGAGAAAGGAAGACAGGAGGCUGGCGGAGGAGCAGCUACUGAGACGUCCCUGGAUCCACAGUUCGGCAGAAGAAGAGGAGGAGGAGGAGGGAUUGAUAGAGAGGCAGAGGAGGAGAGAGGAGGCAGCAAGAGGGGAAAACCGUCGAGGAAGGGGACAGCAACUUCAGUGUGAAUGGCAGACAGUCCUGGCCAAAGAGAGACUGCUGACCAACACUGAGCGGAAUCGCCUCAAAGACGACUCGCACCAUCAGGGCAGGGCAAAAAGAGCAGGGAGAAGUGAGGAAGAGAGAGAGUUACAGCAAGACCCGUCACCGCCUCCGUCACGUUCGCCAACUCCUCACAGACCACCUACCUCGCCCUCCGUCUCCUCCGCUCCAAACUCUGAUUCGGAAUCUGAAUAUCAGGCUCCGAUCACCAAAGUUCCAGCAGACUCCACCUCUUACAAGGCACUCCCCAAGAGGGGGCGGCAAAGCCUCGGCAGGUCCGGUGCCGACAGGCCAAAAGUCGUGCUCCCCAGAGGACCCACCUCGGCUCAUCCAAGUGAGGGGCAGCAAAAACUCUACACCCUGGUCCCAUUCGGGCGAGGUGAACAAACUACAGCACCUUCCCAGCGAGGGCUUCGAAAUCUCGUGGUGCAGAUAGACCUCUGUCUUCUCAAAAGGGUCCCGGACAGCACUACCAGUUCCACCCUUAAAAAGCCCUCCUCCUCUUCCUCCCUGUCAUCCACGAAGGACAAGCAAAGAGAGGCCAUGAAACACCUGUACGUCCCUGAGACCGUGUCGAAGGACAGCAAAAGGAAACGCAAGUCGGAGAACGGCGUGUCACACAGAGAAAGCAAGAGGAGCAUUCCCCCCUGCGAAGGACCUCUCGAGCCAGAAGGAGCCCGCACCUCACGCAGUGGAGCGCAACUUUGUGACAGAAACCGUUCACAACGGGUACUUGGAGGAGUACUUGGACAACAAGAGGCCGUUGUCUCCUCUGUCUCCACUGUCCGACAGCCCUCAGUCCACCAAGCCCCCCCCUAA
ensembl:lncRNA